GCACCUAUGGAGCAGUAGUUUGAGCUCAUUCUCCUCCCAAGAUCUUGCUUGGCUGGGACAUAAGUGAGGGAAAGACCCGGGUGCGAAUCCCGGUGGGUGCA
rnacentral:tRNA from 1 species